AAAGAGCCCUACAUAAAAGGAAUAGCUACCCAUUAUGGCCCCGAGUCAUGUGCGGGUGGUCGUGAGGCCGCACGUGAAGCAGUUGACAGUGGAAAACGCAGGCCAGCCAUUGAGCUCCGAAAUCACCCUUCCGGGGUGCCGACCUUGUGACUUGAAGGGGAAGGCAACAUUGUGAUCGGCGUUAUACAGCGAGUCGAUUACAAACCCUGCGGAGUCAGAGACCC
rnacentral:ncRNA from 1 species